CCUGAGGGAGGCCAUGGAAAAGACAAGGACUUCCCUCUCCUGCUGACCCAAAGGCCCAUCUUCCGAAUUCUGGAACCCCCUUUUCAUCAGCUCUCCCGGCCAACCAGCUCUAGCUGCCCCACUACCUUCAGGGCUAAGAGACUCUUGUUGAUUUCUGCGCCCUCCAUGCGGGUCUGCCGGUCAGCACUGGAAGUGUCCGCGCCUCGCUCAUUCCCUGCCAGAUCUACCAAAGAGAACUUGCCAUGCAUUCUCCCUUUA